GCAUUAUAAAUAUCAAGAUGUAAGUGAGCAAUGCUCUCCCUUGAAGACCUGCCUCUUCUAAAACCAAACUGAUUAGAAGGAAAGUGGUAGCUGCCUAAGGGAUCGUCAUGUACUGACCAGUCACACUCUAGAGCCAAUGAAGGGCAUGCAGGGGAUAUGGCAAUGUGAUUGCCAGAGCAGUGACAGCAACUGGCUGCAGUAUAAGG
rnacentral:misc_RNA from 1 species